rnacentral:rRNA from 1 species
UACAGAGGGUGCAAGCGUUGUUCGGAAUCAUUGGGCGUAAAGCGCGUGUAGGCGGCCCGGUAAGUCCGCUGUGAAAGUCGGGGGCUCAACCCUCGAAUGCCGGUGGAUACUGUCGGGCUCGAGUGCGGAAGAGGCGAGUGGAAUUCCUGGUGUAGCAGUGAAAUGCGUAGAUAUCGAGAGGAACACCAGUGGCGAAGGCGAGUCCCUGGACACUUCCUGACACUGAGGCACGAAAGCUAGGGGAGCUAACAGG